UUCCUCUCAAGCACUGAGAAAGGGCUCAGGUGUAUCUGGUGGCCGGCAGAGCAGGUAGUCAGCCAAGGCUUCAUAGUUCUCACCCACGGCAAUUCAGCUAGCAAACUAGAGACACUUCCCCAAGAAGACACAGCGUGGCAAGACUGCUGAGACGCAUAAAGAAAUCUUAGCUGGUUUCCUGGUUGAAUGUUCUGUUGUAGAAGAAUGCAACUGAGUUUUCUAAACAGAUCUUCUUCUUGACAUCCUUGCUGAACGAGAGCAAAGGAGACAGCUGGGAGCAGAUGGGCAAAUCCCAGUUUGCCCAAAGAAAUGUCUAUUUUCCAAGGGGCAUGAAGAAUUUAGGAAUAAAGCAGAUCUGAUUUCUAAUUCUGACUUUGCUACUGGCAAAUUGUGUGGACUCAGGAAAGUGACCGGCCCUCUUUAAGACUCAGUGUGCUUACCUCUGAAAUGGAGCUGUCAAUCACAUCUGCCUCACAGGCUUGUUCUGAGGAUGAAGUGAGAAAAUGCCCACGAGGUGCUGGUUGCAGCAGCUGGUGCAUAGAGCUUAAAAAGGAUGCAGUCCCAAAACAUAGAAGGAUUUACUCCAGAUCCAAGCAAUGAGUCAGGAACAGAAAGCCUGAUGCCCUCACCUGGAACUCUCCCUCCUCCCUGGAUGAGGACCUUCCCCAGAAUUGCAGGGCACCCACACAAGACCAAGCAAGUUCAGAGAAAAUUGAAACCUGACUUUAGAGCCUCUGGGAUGUUCACUACACCUCAUUGAACCUGUUUGGUUCACAGAGCUCCAACUACCGUCUACUUCCUGCAACUGGCCUGCUGCCAACUCCCCAGAUCUCUUGUGGAGCUGCCGGAAGAGACAGCCUGCCACAGAAGAAAGCAGCCCUCCUCUUUCAUGGCCUCCCACAUCUUGAAACAAACACAAGCAAACAAAACAAAAGCUUGAGUCCCAGCCUGAUUCACCAGGUUUGGUUCCCAAUUGUUGAAAUUCCCUUCCCAGGGCUCUCAGAACCAGGGUUGGCUGGAGGGGUGAAAGAGGCUGGCCCUGAGCCCAGUAAUAGGACACCAAGGGGGAGCUAAAAGCUGGGAUCUGGGGUGAAGAUGGGGUCUUCCAAGCUGGGAGGCAGACACCAGGCCAGAGCAACCGGCCUGCCCCAGCUCAGGCCUCUUAACCCAUGCAGGGCAAGAGUAUAAACAGAGGCCACGGACCACAUGCCUCAGUAUUUAAACUUAUAAAUCAAGCUAACAUAACAUGAAAUCAAAUAUGUUCUAUCCUCCUAGCUUGACAAAUACUUUCAUAACGAGAUGGAAUGCCAGGUUCAGAUUUAGAAUUUUCACACUCCUUAAAGUUCCAAGUCAAAAUACAGCAUUAGGGGAGGGCCCCCAACCUCGAGGUCUCCCCUCCCCCAUUUUCUUUCACUCCCAGCUCUGUCUCACACCACGAGGGAUCUUGGGUGAAUGCCCCUCGAUACCCCAGCCCCCCACAAACAGCUGCCCUUUCCCCCCUUGGCCAAGGGUAAGCACAGCAGCAGGGCAGUCUGCCCUUGGCUGGAGAGAUGGAAGGAGAGGCCACACGGGCCCUGAAAAUGCAUUUGGGGACUCUUGGGCAGGAAACUUGGGAGUUUCUGGAGCCUCAAGGAGGGUCUAGUGGGACAGAGCCACUUGGGCCCAUGAGAUCCUUGACCCAUGGAGAAGGGUAGGGCUAGAGGAGGGCCAGGGCAGGCCCUAUGAACAGAAGAACCUAGAGUAACUGCCCUGUCCCCAGAUCCUGUCACCGAGCAGGUAUACUUGGGAGGGUAUUGGAGGGUGGAACCCAAGGGAGCUUGCCCAAGGCACUAGGAAAGAAAAGUGUAAACCUUGUUAGAGAAUGCUAAGGAUAGCUGUUAAAGCCUCAGAGAUUUUACUCAUUUUUGGCUGUUUCUAAAAAUCUUCCCCCAAAGGAAGAUCUUGCUCUCAUUGAGGAUCUGAGAAAGAAUUCUCUCCAAGUAGUUUCAAAACAUUCUGAUGUAAAAACUCUGGUGUGUUAGUCAAAAAUAAAUUUUGUUGCUUGAUGGCUUCACCAUUCACAAAAUAUUCUAUCCAUCCAAUUUAAAAAUAAGAGCAGGGUAUUUAAAACUCUUUCAAUAAACACAAAUUAAAACAAUG
rnacentral:lncRNA from 1 species